AGUAUUCUGUCAAGGAGUCAUAAUCUACCUAAAAAGGUGAAGAGAGAAAGUAACCUGAGGAUGGAAACUCAAAUGACUAUAAACUUUUUCUCCAUCCAAGUUUUAGGUUGAAGAUGACAUCUUGAAGGAAAUCUGAAAUGGGGCAUAAGAGCAUCACAGGCCUAAUAAACUUUUUGUGUAGUAAUCUUUGCUGGUGGGUUAGUAUGUAUGUACAAG
rnacentral:lncRNA from 1 species